rnacentral:rRNA from 1 species
CAGUAGCCGCGGGAAUACGGAGGGAGCUAGCGUUGUUCGGAAUUACUGGGCGUAAAGCGCGUGUAGGCGGUUACUCAAGUCAGAGGUGAAAGCCCGGGGCUCAACCCCGGAACUGCCUUUGAAACUAGGUGACUAGAAUCUUGGAGAGGUCAGUGGAAUUCCGAGUGUAGAGGUGAAAUUCGUAGAUAUUCGGAAGAACACCAGUGGCGAAGGCGACUGACUGGACAAGUAUUGACGCUGAGGUGCGAAAGCGUGGGGAGCAAACAGGAUUAGAUACCCGUGUAGUCCCUGUCUCUUAUAC